rnacentral:rRNA from 1 species
UACGGAGGGGGCUAGCGUUGUUCGGAAUCAUUGGGCGUAAAGGGCGCGUAGGCGGCCGAUCAAGUCGGAGGUGAAAUCCCUCGGCUCAACUGAGGAACUGCCUUCGAUACUGUUCGGCUUGAGUCCUGGAGAGGGUAGCGGAAUUCCCGGUGUAGCGGUGAAAUGCGUAGAGAUCGGGAAGAACAUCGGUGGCGAAGGCGGCCUGCUGGGCUCUUGCUGACACUGAGGCGCGACAGCGUGGGGAGCAAACAGG